UACGUAGGAUGCAAGCGUUUGUCCGGAAUUAUUGGGCGUAAAGAGCGCGCAGGCGGUUUUACAAGUCAGAUGUGAAAUAUCCGGGCUUAACCCGGAGGGGUCAUUUGAAACUGUAAGACUAGAGUACAGCAGAGGAUAGCGGAAUUCCCGGUGUAGUGGUGAAAUGCGUAGAUAUCGGGAGGAACACCAGUGGCGAAGGCGGCUAUCUGGGCUGAAACUGACGCUGAGGCGCGAAGGCUAGGGGGAGCAAACAGGG
rnacentral:rRNA from 1 species